rnacentral:rRNA from 1 species
GAUGAACGCUGGCGGCGUGCUUAACACAUGCAAGUCGAACGGAAAGGCCCAAUCUUGCUUGGGUACUCGAGUGGCGAACGGGUGAGUAACACGUGGGUGAUCUGCCCUGCACUUCGGGAUAAGCCUGGGAAACUGGGUCUAAUACCGGAUAGGACGAUGGGUUGCAUGCUAUUGUUGAAAGUUUUUUGGGUGUGGGUUAAGCUCGCGGCCUAUCACCUUGUUGGUGGGGUAAUGGCCUACCAAGGCGUCGACGGGUAGCCGGCCUGAGAGGGUGUACGGCCACAUUGGGACUGAGAUAAGGCCCAGAAUCCUACGGGAGGAAGGAGUGGGGAAUAUUACACAAAGGGGGCGAGCCUGAUGGAACGACGCCGCGGGGGGGAAGACGGGCUUGCGGUUGUAAACUCCUUUCGCUAGGGACGAAGCGUUUUGUGACGGUACCUGGAGAAGAAGCACCGGCUAACUACGUG